GAUCCUACGGGCGGCAGCAGUGGGGGAUAUUGCACAAUGGGGGAAACCCUGAUGCAGCGACGCCGCGUGAGUGAAGAAGUAAUUCGUUACGUAAAGCUCUAUCAGCAGGGAAGAAAAUGACGGUACCUGAAUAAGAAGCCCCGGCUAACUACGUGCCAGCAGCCGCGGUAAUACGUAGGGGGCAAGCGUUAUCCGGAUUUACUGGGUGUAAAGGGAGCGUAAACGGUGCGCCAA
rnacentral:rRNA from 1 species